UAUGUAGGUCCCGGGCGUUGUCCGGAUUUAUUGGGCGUAAAGCGAGCGCAGGUGGUUUAUUAAGUCUGGUGUAAAAGGCAGUGGCUCAACCAUUGUAUGCAUUGGAAACUGGUAGACUUGAGUGCAGGAGAGGAGAGUGGAAUUCCAUGUGUAGCGGUGAAAUGCGUAGAUAUAUGGAGGAACACCGGUGGCGAAAGCGGCUCUCUGGCCUGUAACUGACACUGAGGCUCGAAAGCGUGGGGAGCAAACAGG
rnacentral:rRNA from 1 species